GAGGAAAUAAUCGUGUGGACAACUGUCACCAUGGUAAUGAGGGGCCCAGCUGCAAACAGGGGCCCUCUGAGGAGCUGGAGACAAGGGGAAGAGAGGAGGAGAUAACUUGGAAUCCUAGACCUUCAGAGACAGGACUCUUAGACAUUGGUCCCAACACUCGAACCCAGGCAUCUUGAUUCCAAGGUUUUCUCUUGUCACCUGCUGCGGCUUCACUGACUGCAUGAGGAAUUACUCAACUCUAGCUGCCAUGCAGUGCACUGGUUCC
rnacentral:lncRNA from 1 species